UAUAUUGCUCAAGAUACCUGACUGGUUCAGUAUAAUAGCAUUUUAAUCUAUACUUGUGAGCUUUUGAAAAGAAAGAACUAAGCUCAAAACUAUCAUUUAUAUACUGCCUUUGGAAUGAACUUCCAUCGUAUCCAUAAAUUAUUGAAAGGUUUUCUGUCUGCAGAAUAGUCAAACAAUACCGUCAUUAACAACAAAUUUUACACAAAGACAUCAUUCCUAUAAUCAAUAAGGCAAAGCAAAAAGCCUGCAUUGUUAUGUGAAGCUAAAGUGAAACAUAAGUGGAACAAAGCAAACCUUGCACAAAGGACAUUUUACAGAAGAAGGUGCAUGAGAAUGCUUGCCAGCAACUACUUUAGUCCAAUUCAAAAUGCAACUGUAACAAAAUUUAUCUGCAAUACAAGAAUAAGAGGAACAAAUGACCCACCAUCAUCUUGCAUCAUUCCCCAACCCUCUCUGCCCCCGCCCACAAACCCAAC
rnacentral:misc_RNA from 1 species